ACGCGUGAGAGACUUGUUGUCAA
rnacentral:siRNA from 1 species